AGUAAUAAGGAGUAUAAAAAGAGUCAUUCUGUUUGGAAGAACUAGAAAGAUCAGGCCAUUCAAAAUCAAAUGUAGAAAUGUUUUAGGUUUAGACUGGGGCUAAAUGAGGGGUGGUGGGAGGAACCAUAAGCAAAAGCAAAACAGUAUCAACGUAUGUAGCACGUACAAAGAAUGAUGAUUAGUCAAAUAAGGCCAGAGUAUACAGUGUCUAAGAUGGAAGAAGUUAAAGGCACAGACCUUUCAAUAAAAAUGGGGUAAUGUUAACAACUAUAGAGAUAUUCUUAGUCCUCAUUCUAGUUGACCUGUUUCAGGAUUUGGUAAUUAGGAGGAGGCUGCCACUAACCUAUUAGAAAGGUGAUUUAGCAGUUCCCACAGAGGGAGAGAAGUGGGAGCAGUAAAUGAGUAGCUCAGAGUGAAUGAGAAGUUACCAUGGAGUCAAUUAAAAUAAAUUGCUCUUUCACGAAGAUAGGCAUUACGAAGAGAAAAUAGGUAGAGUAGUAACAUGAGGGAAGAUCAGCUGGCAACUAACUUCUUGUUCCUUUUUUAAGGAUAAAAGAAUACAUUUUUGCUUGAAGUAAAGAUGCACAUGUGGAGUGAGAGAUCAAAGAUACCAACACAAAGGGUAGCUGAGAGUGCAUUGCGCACCAUGAAUUCAUUAAUCAAUAAUAACACUAUUUUAUAAUACUUACAAGAAUGGUAUUAAAUUUAGUUUUUCUACUUUAUAUAUUUGAAGGGAAAAUUUCAAGAGCAUAUAAAAGAAUAAUCAUCACUAGUUUACCAAACUAACAGGGUACUAGAGGCAAAUAAGAACGACAAUAAGACCUCUUUAAGAAAACUUUUAUUCACUAUCACACUAAGAGAAAUAUACAAUAAAAGGUGUUUUACAAAACAGCAUGGCUUCAGAUGGUAGUGAUACGUUAGAAAAAAAUUUGUUUGAAACUUCAUACAAGCAAAAAGACUUGCAACCAUAAACAACACUGAAAAUUUUCUCAUGAACUUAUGUUCAUUUUAAGUUAAUGAAAAACAAACAUCACAGGUUUCAUUCCACAAAAUAACUUCACUAUUCAAUAUUCAUAAAGACAUCUUCUGUUAUUUGGGGGAUGUUACAGUCUUAAAUACUAAAAGACUACUACUGUGAAUAAAGCCUCACUGUAAUUACUUUUAGUUCAACUUAAAUCCUUAAAAAUGUCCAUAGUCAUACACUUCUGCACAACAUUAACAUUAAAAGCACAUUAUUAAUUUUUGAAACAUAUGGUUGUCUCAGAAGCCCAGAAGUAAAACAUGUUCAUUAAAAAGAUGUGAAAAAGUUCCAAGUGAACUGCCAAAACUAGCAUAAUUAUGAAAAUAUUUAACACUGAAACCAUCUGAAAUCACAUACUGUAUAUAGAUUAUGGUGAUGUCAUAAUAAACAUUCCAGCCAAAAUGCACUAAAACUACUGCAGUCCAAUAAAUCUGGCAUAUGUGAGAUGACAAACAUUUUAAAGCAAAAGAAAGAACAAGUUAUUUUUACUCUAUUUUUUAAAAAUUAUUAGCAGCAAAAUGGGAUUAAAUGAAAACGAUGAGUUUUCAAAUUUUUGUUAAAAAAAAGGUUUGUCAACUAAAACUAGAAAACCAUCAACUCCCAGAUUCACAAUAGUGUGAAUAACAUUUAGAAUAAAACUGAAAACAAGUGACUACAUCAUUGAAGUCCUUGUCUAAAACUACAGAGCAAGAGGUUAAGAUGCAGGAAAGAGCUGAAGAAGGAGAAAGUGGACAGUGAAACUAAGAGGUGAUGUACUUUAUGCUCUUCAACCCUGUGGCACCAAACUUCGCAAGCAGAAAAGAACUAAGACUCACCUGUCAGCUCUGGUCACCAAAGGGGCUUAGAAAUGAACUGCUACAAGGCUUUUAGGAACAUUCACCUCUAUCCUCUCCAGUAGCAAGUACAAUGACAACAGCCAGAUGCAAUAAAGAAUCUCUGAGAGUAAUACUGCACACUUCAAAGACAGAAAGCUAAAUAAAGUCAUUUACUCAGAGGUACACUUGGAGAGCACAAGAGAGAGCCAGGGAAAACACAUUCACUAACUUUCAUGGUAAAAAUAGAAAUCUGACUCAACUCUACCUUAACAGCAAUAUUUAAAACCUUAACUUUAGUCAUAAAAAAUAUAUAUAUCAAGCAUGCUUAAAUAAAGAGGAAUAUAUAGCACCAAUCUCUUCACACAUCAACUUUAGUCCACAAGGGAGGCUGUUUCCAUCUUCUAUCAAGGGUGGAAAAAAGGGGUUAUGACAGGCUGGAAAAAGGAAAAAGAAAUGACCCUCCCUUGUAUUCUUUUCAUUUGAUCAUCUCAAAGGAAGAUAUAACUAACCUUAAUGACCAAAAGCUGAACAUUCAUUGGGCCACAUUUUAACAAUAAAAGAGAUCACCAUAUUCACUGUGAACACUUCUAUGUGCUUUUCUAAUCUCUGCUCUUCUAAUCUCUGAGACCCAUGCUACUCAGUAAAAGGACCAGAGUCAUUUUCCCAGAUGACUCAACCAUUAGCCAUCUCUCCUCUGCCUUCUUUUCACCCACAUAGCCCCCGACCCAUGAUACUGCCCCAGCCACAGAAUAAUCAAACUAUUAAACUAUGCCAGAACAUAUAUCAGAGAAAUUGCAAAACAUGUUAUGAAAAAUUUGUUCUUUAUUGCUACCUAUGACAUUCCUUUCCUUCAUAUUGGUGGGUAUGUGGGUGUGUAUCCGAUUGCCACCUCCCUCUCCCACUUUUUUUAAACCACAGAAUUGAAACUGUGAGAUCCACUCUAAGAUUUAGAAGGUGAAAUAGGCAGAAAUUCAGGGAGGAAGAAAAAAAAAGUAAAUACAGAACUACUCUGGUCUAAACCACAUUCUACCAUCUAAUUUUUACCAAAUUCACUGGGGGGAACUGGGUUAUUGAACAGAUUAAUUUAACUGCACUUUGUUUUCUUGUAUAUAACUUCCCUCAGCAAAAGAUGUCUGAGCAAAGAAAAGUAUGUGUUAGGCACCUUCAGGAAAAAAAAAUUUAAAAAAAGUAGUAAAAUUGAUACCUUUAUCUAAGUAUUUUACCUAUUUACUCAAAUAACAAAACCUAUGUAAACACUAAAAAGUUAGUAAUUUAAGAGUUAAUCAGGCCAGGCAUGGUGGCUCACACCUAUAAUCCCAGCACUUUGGGAAGCAGGUGGAUUGCCUGAGGUUAGGAGUUCGAGACCAGUGUGGCCAACAUGGUGUAACCCUGUCCCUUCUAAAACUUCAAAAAAAUUAGCUGGGCGUGGUGCUUUGCACCUGUAAUCCCAGCUACUCAGGAGGCUGAGGCAGGGGAAUCACUUGAACCAGGGAAGUAGAGGUUGCAGUGAGCCAAGAUCGCACCACUGCACUCCUGCCUGGGUGACAGAGAGAGACUCUGUGUGAAAAAAAAAAAAAAAAAAGUUUAUGAUUAUACAUGUCACAAAGAAAUAGCAGUUACUAGGCAGCAAGUAUUUCAAGGAUAAGAAAAGUAGAGCUUCUCUUAAGAAAAGUGGAGAGUAGGCAUAAACUAAAAAUAAAAUCCUUAGCCCCCAAAACUAUCUGAAUGGACCCCUCCGCUCAAGCCAUAGGCAUUCCAAACUUAACCUGAAAAACUACUUCAGGCUAUGAUGGGAGUGGGAGGUCAGACAUGCCUCAUUAUACCCGCCUCUCCUUGAAAUUCAGGCACAACUGACCAGUAUUAACAUUAAAACAGAAAUCUUAAGACUUUUUGUAGCAAUAAGACACCAAAUUCUACCCUGACUCUAGUAUUGCAUCACAUGACAGAUCACAGGCCCUGAAAGAAAUCAAAGUAUAACCCUUAUACAUAUUUUGAAAUGGCCCUAUAAAGCUGUCUCUUGUGGGGAAAAUCUAUAUUCUGUAGAGAAUCCCUUUCCCUUUCCUGGUGGUCUUUUCUCUGAUACAGGAGAGAAUUAACUAAGAGUCUGGCACCUUUUUAAGUGUGAUUAAGAAACAUUUACAAUCUAUUCUUUCUGAAGCCUGCUACCUGGAAACUUCAUCUGCAUAAUAAGAACUUUGUUCUCCACAAUCCCUUAUCUGAACUCAGACACUCCCUUCUAUGGAUUCCAGGUCUUUAGAUAAAUUCUUUCAACCAACUGCAAAUCUUUGAUUCCACCUAUUACUUGGAAGCCCCUUCCUCCUAACGUUGUCCUGCUUUUCCAGACCAAACCAAUGUACAUUUGAUAUAUAUUGAUUGAUGUCUUAUGUCUCCAUAAAAUGCACAAAACCAAGGUGUAGCCUGACCACCUUGGGCACACGUCAUCAGGACGUCCUGAGGCUUGUCCUUAACCUUGGCAAAAUAAACUUCUAAAUUGAGACUUGUCUCAAAUGCUUUUUGGUUUACAAACAGAAGGAAGGAAGGCAGGGAUGGAUGAAAAAGAGACAAACAGAAAAAACAUUGUAACACUUUCAAUAUGUCACAUACUGCUAAAGACAUUAUGUUCAUAUCUCAAUCCUCCUAAUCGACUCUAUGAAUGCAAGAAUAUCCUCAUUUUAUAGAUGAAGAAACGAAGGCAUAAAGAGAUUAAAUGCUUCAAAAUCACACAGCUAUUAAAUGCCCAAUACUAACCACUUUGCCCUACUGCCUCCCUAUGAGAAAAAGGGAACUGAAAAAUAUAAUACUAAAUUAACAACCUAUCCUUUCCUAACCUAUCCAACCUAACCUUUCCUUAUCCUGAGAAAAGAAAAAUCAGAGUGAGAUUGAGUAGUCAGGAAAACAUCACAAAGAACAAGAGAUUUGAAAAGACUGUACCUGCAGGAAUGAAAAAGGAAAAGUUGAACAAGGCAAGGUAACAUGCCUUACUGAAAUGAUAAUGGAUAGCCCAAUUUAGGUUAAAUAGAGAGCAGUGAAAUAUCAAGCUGUAAAAAGAAACUAGGGCAAAUGGCAGAGGGCCUAUUAGUCCAAGAAAUUU
rnacentral:lncRNA from 10 species